AGUGAGUGUGUGAAUGAGUGUGUGAGUGAAUGAGUGUGAGUGAAUGAGUCUGUGAGUGAGUGUGUGAGUGAAUGAGUGUGAGUGUGAGUGUGUGAGUGAGUGAGUGUGUGGAAUGAGUGUGAGUGAGUGAGUGUGAGUGAGUGUGUGAAUGAGUGUGAGUGAGUGUGUGAGUGAGUGAGUGCGUGUGUGAGUGAGUGAGCGAGCGUGUGAGUGAGUGAGCGUGUGAGUGAGUGUGUGUGUGAGUGAGCGAGUGUGUGAUGGCGAGCGUGUGUGAGUGAGCGAGCGUGUGAGUGAGUGUGUGUGUGAGUGAGCGAGCGUGUGUGGAUGUAUUCAAGUGACUGAGUGAGUGUUUGACUAAAAUGGCA
ensembl:lncRNA